GUGAUAGAUGCUUACCACGUGUGCGAUUAUCGUUAUUAUCUAUUUAAAUUAAAGUCCGCAAUAUCUAUUUUUAACCUGAUUCCGUAUUUUAGCCUUAUCCCAAAUAAUUACUUCCCUUUCCGAAAUCGAAAGUGGAAGUGAAAUGUCAUCGUCAUGAGUCAAGCUAGAUUUGUAUCGUUUUGCUCAAGUAUUCCAUCGGAAAUAACAGACAAACAAGACGAUGAGUUUAUUGAAGAGCUACAUAUUGUCGACGAAUUGUAUUUUGCCCAAAUAGAAAGUUCCCAAAGUGAAAAUCUGAGCGAUGAUGACGGAGUCGGUGUAUGUUAUGUUAAGUGUUAACUAGUUACAUGUAUCUUCAAGACCUAUCUCUGCCUCGGGUCUUUUCUUCUUCGUGAUUCAAAUAACGUGUUUGGGAGUUAAUUAAUUAACCAGUAAGAUAUUGUCACAUACUAGUAUGGAAGUAAAAAAAAAAGAACAAAAGAGAAAAAGAAAAAAAAAGGAGUUCCAUAAGGUAAUAGCUAAUAGAGAAUAAUAUAUCAUAAAACGCUUUCAAACAAGAGGAAAACUCAAUUAAACUGUCUUGCAUAUUGAACGACAGAUCGUAUACCUCUCUUUUCUCAAAGGAUAAUAAAUGCAACCAACCAAAAUCAAAACACUUACAAAUGUAACAUACAUGUAAUAAGAACAUAAUGUCUCUAUAACUACUUAAAAACAUCGGAUAAUACAACAUUAAGAUAAAAAGGGGUAUAAAUUAAAUUCCGUAGAUCUUUUAAUAAUUUGUGUCAAAAUGUAUUGUAUAAAGGCAACAGUAGUAUACCGCUGUUCAAUGGUCAUAAAUCGAUUUAACUGAAACAAAUCCGGAUAACAAACCAAAUACUGAUGGGAAUACAUCAAUUAUAAGAGAAACAACGGAACAACAGAAACACUGAACUUCUACAAAAACAAAUGCCAACAUACAUACAAACGAGUUAUUAAAUAGUAUGGAUCACCGUUUUUUUUUAUCAAGAUAUAGGUUGUGCAAAAUUACUUUGAUUUUGUAUAGAAUAUACCUGGAAAACCUACUUUUAUUGAUAAAAAGAAAACUAC
rnacentral:lncRNA from 1 species